UUUGGCGCUGCUAUUUCCCUCCCAAUUCUCCCACCAAAGUUCUAGCCCUAAUUCCCAAUUCCCCCACCAAAGUUCCAGCCCUAAUCGUCCCAACCAAAACUUAGAGGGCAGCUACUACUGGUGGUUUUAGGGGAAGCUCCAAAAUUGUCUAAAUCGCUUGGAGUUGGUGGUUUCCUGCCAUCGUGAGGCUCAAAGUGGUGGUUUCCAGUGGCGCUCGUGUUUACUACAGCUUAAAAAGGUUCAAGUAGAGUUGGAAAAAGAAAGAGAGGCCCGAAAAAAAUAUGGAAGCUCGUUUUGCACAAUGGGAACAAGAGCGGGCCGAGCGUGAAUGGGAGCGAGCCGCAAAUGCAGUAUGGCAAAAAAAGAUGGAAGAAAUGAUGAAUAGUUCAAGGAAAAAGUAAAGAUCGUGUUCAUUUUGUAAUAUGAAAACACGCUUUUCAUAUUACAAAAGCUCGUUUUCAUAUUAACUUUCGGUUUGUAUUACAUUUUGAAACGUUAA